GUGGAUUAGAUACCCUGGUAGUCCACGCCCUAAACGAUGAUAACUCGCUGCUAGCGAUAUACAGUUAGCGGCCAAGCGAAAGCGUUAAGUUAUCCACCUGGGGAGUACGCCCGCAAGGGUGAAACUCAAAGGAAUUGACGGGGGCCCGCACAAGCGGAGGAGCAUGUGGUUUAAUUCGAUGAUACGCGAGGAACCUUACCCGGGCUUGAAAGUUACUGAAUAACUCAGAGAUGAGUUAGUCCUUCGGGACAGGAAACUAGGUGCUGCACGGCCGUCGACAACU
rnacentral:rRNA from 1 species